rnacentral:rRNA from 1 species
UACAGAGGGUGCAAGCGUUAAUCGGAGUUACUGGGCGUAAAGGGUGCGUAGGUGGUUUAUUAAGUUGGCUGUGAAAUCCCCGGGCUUAACCUGGGAACUGCAGCCAAAACUGGUGAACUGGAGUACUGUAGAGGGUAGUGGAAUUUCCGGUGUAGCGGUGAAAUGCGUAGAGAUCGGAAGGAACACCAGUGGCGAAGGCGGCUACCUGGACAGAUACUGACACUGAGGCACGAAAGCGUGGGGAGCAAACAGG